rnacentral:rRNA from 1 species
AACGAACGCUGGCGGCAUGCCUAACACAUGCAAGUCGAGCGAGACCUUCGGGUCUAGUUGCGCACGGGUGCGUAACGCGUGGGAACCUGCCCUUAGGAUCGGAAUAACUCCCCGAAAGGGGUGCUAAUACCGGAUAAUGUCUUCGGACCAAAGAUUUAUCGCCUUUGGAUGGGCCCGCGUUGGAUUAGCUAGUUGGUAGGGUAAAGGCCUACCAAGGCAACGAUCAGUAGCUGGUCUGAGAGGAGGAUCAGCCACACUGGAACGGAGACAAGGCCCAGACUCCGACGGGAGGCAGCAGGAAGGAAGAGUGCGCAAUGGGAGAAAUGCGGAAGCAGCAACGCCGCGUGAGGGACGAAGGGCUUUUGCUUGUAAACCUCUGUAGUGAGAGAAAAAAAUCCCAAUCUUUGGGACAUGAUGGUAUCGCAAAAGUAAGCCCCGGCUAACUACGUG